UACGUAGGUGGCGAGCGUUGUCCGGAUUUAUUGGGCGUAAAGCGCGCGCAGGCGGUCUGUUACGUCCGUUGUGAAAGCUCCCGGCUCAACUGGGAGAGGUCUUCGGAUACGGGCGGACUCGAGGAAGGUAGAGGAAGGUGGAAUUCCCGGUGUAGUGGUGAAAUGCGUAGAGAUCGGGAGGAACACCAGUGGCGAAGGCGGCUAUCUGGCCCGUAAUUGACGCUGAGGCGCGAAAGCGUGGGGAGCAAACAGG
rnacentral:rRNA from 1 species